rnacentral:rRNA from 1 species
GACGAACGCUGGCGGCGUGCCUAAUACAUGCAAGUUGAGCGCUGAAGGUUGGUACUUGUACCAACUGGAUGAGCAGCGAACGGGUGAGUAACGCGUGGGGAAUCUGCCUUUGAGCGGGGGACAACAUUUGGAAACGAAUGCUAAUACCGCAUAAAAACUUUAAACACAAGUUUUAAGUUUGAAAGAUGCAAUUGCAUCACUCAAAGAUGAUCCCGCGUUGUAUUAGCUAGUUGGUGAGGUAAAGGCUCACCAAGGCGAAGAUACAUAGCCGACCUGAGAGGGUGAUCGGCCACAUUGGGACUGAGACACGGCCCAAACUCCUACGGGAGGCAGCAGUAGGGAAUCUUCGGCAAUGGACGAAAGUCUGACCGAGCAACGCCGCGUGAGUGAAGAAGGUUUUCGGAUCGUAAAACUCUGUUGGUAGAGAAGAACGUUGGUGAGAGUGGAAAGCUCAUCAAGUGACGGUAACUACCCAGAAAGGGACGGCUAACUACGUA